rnacentral:lncRNA from 1 species
UCAGUUAUCCACUCCUCAUGGAAUUCGAACAACUUAGUACUGAUUAGUGCACUGCGGAAGCAAUUCAGCAAAAACCCAGAGCUUCUUGAGCCGUAAGUGUGGGACACAGCCUUGCCUCUGUGUAUCUAGUUUGAAACUAGGACCUGCUGGGUCACUUCUUGCUUCCAUGAUAGGCUGGUUUUCAAAUUACUUCUCUUGCCUCCUUAAAUAGAGCCAGGGGAUGGGGGUGGAUGGGAGAGGAGGUGACUUAAAAGAUCUCAUCCCUUUAGGAGGUGGGGGAACUUAAUCACAAGUCUGCACUUGCUUCAGAUGAUUAAACAAUGAGUGUUUAUGAAAUCAAGAAAAAUAUUUUCCCCCCAGAGUUUUCUUUUCAAAGAGUUCUCUGUGCGCUCUGGCUAAUUUAAAAAGAGCCCCAUAGGGUGCUUAUUUUUUUUACACAUAUAUUGCCAGAGUAGUUCCUGUUUUGGUUUAAAUGUGUUCCUUCUUUUUAGUCAGAUGAAAGAGAACUUUCUUUAAAAAGAACUUGUCUGCUGAUCCUGUUUGUUAGAAUGAGCCUAAAUAAAGCUUCUGUUAAGAGUUUAACUGUUGAGCUAAGUCCUCUCAGCUAAAUUAUCUGGCAAUUUUCAUUCUUAGUUGGGCUAUGUAACUGGAGUGCCCUUAUUAUCCUCUUUCCUACCUGCAAUGUCUGCCUCCCCUGAGGACUCCUCUGAACCUAUCCUAAAACAACAUUUAUCUAAAACACCAUGGAGUAAUCUAACACUCAUGGGAGCCAGAAAGACAGUGCCACAGAGGUGAGUUACUUAUCUUCUCAAAUAUUGACUGUCGGAUUUUAAGCAAGACAACUUGCUCUGUGUGAUCUGUCAGCUGACAAACUGCAAGUCACGUUGUUUUUUGUUAUUGUUUGUUUUUUUGUGGGUUUUGUGUGUGUGUGUGUGUGUGUUUGCAAGUCAUGGUUUUGAUGGACUCAUUUGUAUUUAGAUGUCUAUUUAACAUCAGUCAACAGCAUUUACUAUGUCUUGGCCUGUUUCUUAGGCAUUCACAAUAGUGAAUGACAGAAGAUGCCUGCCCUGUGAGAAUGUACAGACCAGAAAGGAAAAGGGAUUAAUAAACACAGUAAAUCUAGUAUGUCUGAUCA